rnacentral:rRNA from 1 species
UAGAGUUUGAUCAUGGCUCAGGAUGAACGCUAGCGGGAGGCCUAACACAUGCAAGCCGAGCGGUAGAGUUUCUUCGGAAACUUGAGAGCGGCGCACGGGUGCGGAACACGCGUGCAACCUGCCUUUAUCUGGGGGAUAGCCUUUCGAAAGGAAGAUUAAUACCCCAUAAUAUAUUGAUUGGCAUCAGUUAAUAUUGAAAACUCCGGUGGAUAAAGGUGGGCACGCGUAAGAUUAGAUAGUUGGUGAGGUAACGGCUCACCAAGUCAACGAUCUUUAGGGGGCCUGAGAGGGUGAUCCCCCACACUGGUACUGAGACACGGACCAGACUCCUACGGGAGGCAGCAGUGAGGAAUAUUGGACAAUGGGUGAGAGCCUGAUCCAGCCAUCCCGCGUGAAGGAAUAAGGACCUAUGGUUUGUAAACUUCUUUUGUACAGGGGAUAAACCUACUCACGUGUGAGUAGCUGAAGGUACUGUACGAAUAAGCACCGGCUAACUCCGUGCCAGCAGCCGCGGUAAUACGGAGGGUGCAAGCGUUAUCCGGAUCUAUUGGGUUUAAAGGGUCCGUA